UGCAAGUAGAACGCUGAAGAGAGGAGCUUGCUCUUCUUGGAUGAGUUGCGAACGGGUGAGUAACGCGUAGGUAACCUGCCUUGUAGCGGGGGAUAACUAUUGGAAACGAUAGCUAAUACCGCAUAACAAUGGAUGACCCAUGUCAUUUAUUUGAAAGGGGCAAAUGCUCCACUACAAGAUGGACCUGCGUUGUAUUAGCUAGUAGGUGAGGUAACGGCUCACCUAGGCGACGAUACAUAGCCGACCUGAGAGGGUGAUCGGCCACACUGGGACUGAGACACGGCCCAGACUCCUACGGGAGGCAGCAGUAGGGAAUCUUCGGCAAUGGGGCAACCCUGACCGAGCAACGCCGCGUGAGUGAAGAAGGUUUUCGGAUCGUAAAGCUCUGUUGUAAGUCAAGAACGAGUGUGAGAGUGGAAAGUUCACACUGUGACGGUAGCUUACCAGAAAGGGACGGCUAACUACGUGCCAGCAGCCGCGGUAAUACGUAGGUCCCGAGCGUUGUCCGGAUUUAUUGGGCGUAAAGCGAGCGCAGGCGGUUAGAUAAGUCUGAAGUUAAAGGCUGUGGCUUAACCAUAGUACGCUUUGGAAACUGUUUAACUUGAGUGCAAGAGGGGAGAGUGGAAUUCCAUGUGUAGCGGUGAAAUGCGUAGAUAUAUGGAGGAACACCGGUGGCGAAAGCGGCUCUCUG
rnacentral:rRNA from 1 species